rnacentral:rRNA from 1 species
AUACGUAGGUGACAAGCGUUAUCCGGAUUUACUGGGCGUAAAGGGCGUGUAGGCGGUCUUGCAAGUCAGAAGUGAAAUUCCUGAGCUCAGCUCGGGCGCUGCUUCUGAAACUGCAGGACUUGAGUGCUGGAGGGGAUCGCGGAAUUCCUAGUGGAGCGGUAAAAUGCGCAGAUAUUAGGAAGAACACCGGUGGCGAAGGCGGCUAUCUGGACAGUAACUGACGCUGAGGCGCGAAAGCGUGGGGAGCAAACAGGAUUAGAUACCCUGGUAGACCACGCUGUAAACGAUGAUUACUAGGUGUGGGGGGACUGACCCCUUCCGUGCCGCAGUUAACACAAUAAGUAAUCCACCUGGGGAGUACGGCCGCAAGGUUGAAACUCAAAUGAAUUGACGGGG